UUAACACAUGCAAGUCGAACGAUGAUCCGGUGCUUGCACCGGGGAUUAGUGGCGAACGGGUGAGUAACACGUGAGUAACCUGCCCUUAACUCUGGGAUAAGCCUGGGAAACUGGGUCUAAUACCGGAUAUGACUCCUCAUCGCAUGGUGGGGGGUGGAAAGCUUUAUUGUGGUUUUGGAUGGACUCGCGGCCUAUCAGCUUGUUGGUGAGGUAAUGGCUCACCAAGGCGACGACGGGUAGCCGGCCUGAGAGGGUGACCGGCCACACUGGGACUGAGACACGGCCCAGACUCCUACGGGAGGCAGCAGUGGGGAAUAUUGCACAAUGGGCGCAAGCCUGAUGCAGCGACGCCGCGUGAGGGAUGACGGCCUUCGGGUUGUAAACCUCUUUCAGUAGGGAAGAAGCGAAAGUGACGGUACCUGCAGAAGAAGCGCCGGCUAACUACGUGCCAGCAGCCGCGGUAAUACGUAGGGCGCAAGCGUUAUCCGGAAUUAUUGGGCGUAAAGAGCUCGUAGGCGGUUUGUCGCGUCUGCCGUGAAAGUCCGGGGCUCAACUCCGGAUCUGCGGUGGGUACCGGCAGACUAGAGUGAUGUA
rnacentral:rRNA from 1 species